rnacentral:rRNA from 1 species
CCUACGGGUGGCAGCAGUAGGGAAUCUUCCACAAUGGGCGAAAGCCUGAUGGAGCAACGCCGCGUGGGUGAAGAAGGUCUUCGGAUCGUAAAACCCUGUUGUUAGAGAAGAAAGUGCGUGAGAGUAACUGUUCACGUUUCGACGGUAUCUAACCAGAAAGCCACGGCUAACUACGUGCCAGCAGCCGCGGUAAUACGUAGGGGGCAAGCGUUAUCCGGAUUUAUUGGGCGUAAAGGGAACGCAGGCGGUCUUUUAAGUCUGAUGGGAAAGCCUUCGGCUUAACCGGGGUAGUGCAUUGGAAACUGGGGGACUUGAGUGAAGAAGAGGAGAGUGGAACUCCAUGUGUAGCGGUGAAAUGCGUAGAUAUAUGGAAGAACACCAGUGGCGAAAGCGGCUCUCUGGUCUGUAACUGACGCUGAGGUUCGAAAGCGUGGGUAGCAAACAGGAUUAGAUACCCGUGUAGUC